rnacentral:rRNA from 1 species
CCUACGUGUCGCAGCAGUGGGGAAUAUUGGACAAUGGGCGAAAGCCUGAUCCAGCCAUGCCGCGUGUGUGAAGAAGGCCUUCGGGUUGUAAAGCACUUUCAGUGGGGAAGAAAGCCUUGGGGCUAAUACCCUCGAGGAAGGACAUCACCCACAGAAGAAGCACCGGCUAACUCCGUGCCAGCAGCCGCGGUAAUACGGAGGGUGCGAGCGUUAAUCGGAAUUACUGGGCGUAAAGCGCGCGUAGGCGGUCUGAUAAGCCGGUUGUGAAAGCCCCGGGCUCAACCUGGGAACGGCAUCCGGAACUGUCAGGCUAGAGUGCAGGAGAGGAAGGUAGAAUUCCCGGUGUAGCGGUGAAAUGCGUAGAGAUCGGGAGGAAUACCAGUGGCGAAGGCGGCCUUCUGGACUGACACUGACGCUGAGGUGCGAAAGCGUGGGUAGCAAACAGGAUUAGAUACCCUGGUAGUC